UACGUAGGGUGCAAACGUUGUCCGGAAUUAUUGGGCGUAAAGAGCUCGUAGGCGGUUUGUUGCGUCGGCUGUGAAAUCCCGAGGCUCAACCUCGGGUCUGCAGUCGAUACGAGCAAACUAGAGUGUUGCAGGGGAGACUGGAAUUCCUGGUGUAGCGGUGAAAUGCGCAGAUAUCAGGAGGAACACCGGUGGCGAAGGCGGGUCUCUGGGCAACAACUGACGCUGAGGAGCGAAAGCGUGGGGAGCGAACAGG
rnacentral:rRNA from 1 species